UUAGUAUUUGUUUGUGUGUGAAAAAUGCAAAAAAUGACAGUUUUGGCCAGUGUUUGUGACUAAGUGGCUACUAAAAAAGACUGGACAUACCCCGUUUGCAAUACCUUGGGUUGUCUACUGUUGCAAAUGGUAUGCCAUCAUAGGGGUAAUUUUCAUUCUUGGGCUACCAUAGGGUCUCAAAGGCAACCUAGGCGAAUUUUAAUGUAAAAAAAAUGAAACACAAGCCUUAUAUUUGACACUGUAACUUUUGAAAACACCAUAAAACCUGUACAUGAGGGGCAUUGUUGUACUUGGGAAACUUUGCUGAACACAAAUAUUUGUGUUUCAAAACAGUAAAAAGUAUUGCAGCAAUAAUAUCGUCCGUGUAAGUGCUGUCU